CGAGGUAUAUUUCAAUCGGUUAGAAAAAGCGGCCCAUACCCGUUAAAUCAAAGUUCGAGUCUUUGUACCUCGACCA
rnacentral:tRNA from 1 species